rnacentral:lncRNA from 1 species
AGCUGAUGUUGCGUGUGAAGAUUACAGACGAGCAUUAUCCAAGGAGAUCUGGCUCUCGAAGUUAAGAAAGCGGUGUGAGGAUUACAGACAAGCUUUAUCUAAGGGGCUCUCGAAGUUAAGAAAGCGGUGCCUCUUCGGUUUUCGAACAAGCAAUCCUGUCGGGGAUCUGGCUCUCGAGAUUCAGAGAACGGUGCCUCUUCGAUUUUUGAGAAAGCAAUCCUGCUGGGAGUCUGGCUCUCGAGAUUCGGAGAGCGGUGUCUCUUCGAUUUUUGAGAAAGUAAUCAUG